CUGUUACUGUCACUAUACCCCACUCCCUCUAACAUGUAAACUCACUGAGCAGGCCCUCAAUCCCUCUGUUACUGUUACUAUACCCCACUCCCUCUAACAUGUAAACUCACUGAGCAGGCCCUCAAUCCCUCUGUUACUGUGUCACUAUACCCCACUCCCUCUAACAUGUAAACUCACUGAGCAGGCCCUCAAUCCCUCUGUUACUGUGUCACUAUACCCCACUCCCUCUAACAUGUAAACUCACUGAGCAGGCCCUCAAUCCCUCUGUUACUGUGUCACUAUACCCCACUCCCUCUAAC